GGCCCCUUAGUCAAGCGGCUAAGACGCCGCCCUUUCACGGCGGAGGCAGGAGUUCGAUUCUCCUAGGGGUCACCA
rnacentral:tRNA from 1 species